GAUACCAUCAUAAGAUGACAUGCAGUAGCUGUGUGUUUGUGAGAGGUGAGGGAAAUGGCGGAAAUGGAUGGGAGAGGUGAAGCCAUAGUAGCUUGCAGUGACAAGCACACGAGUGCAGGCAUAUGCAUAUGGGAUGUAGAGACUGGAGAGGAUAUCAUGCACAUCCCCACAUGUGCAUCCUCAUCCCAUGGCCUUCUUUCCUUGACUAACCACUUCCUUGUUGCUUCUCAGCUCCAAAAGCAUGGUUCUUAUGGUGGUGGUGCCAUCUUCAUCUGGCCCUUGAAUAAGCCUCAAGCAUUGCUCAGAAGCUAUCCAAUAGAGCCUAUUGGACCAAUUUCCUGCACCAGGGAUGGAUUAUUUCUUUUUGGAGGAGCUCCUUCCGGGAAUGUGUAUGUUUGGGAUGUUUCAAGUGGAAGACUGCUCAAGAACUGGCGUGCACAUCACAAAUCUAUGAGCUGUCUUGCCCUUUCUGAUGAUGACUCUUUUCUCAUUUCUGGGGCUGAUGAUGGUGGGAUCUGUGUUUGGACAUUGAUAAGAAACAAUUUGAUUCUCUUUAAUAUGAUUUGCUGCUCUGAUCGAUCCGAUGGAAGUGUGCUAGAUAUGGCAGAUUCUCAAAUACGUGGAAGCUUGCCUUCUUUUCACUGUUGGUUGGAGCAUGGAGCCUCUAUAACUGGUCUGUUGUUGACAUCUGGCAGUUCAAGUUCAGUACUGAUAUCUAGCUCCUUGGAUGGCACAUGCAAGGUUUGGGACCUGGCCAUAGGAAGGCUGCUGCAAACUCACACCUUUUCAUUAGCUGUGACUGCAAUUGUUCUUGAUCCCACAGAGCAGUUUUUGUUUUGUGGAAGUGCCGAUGGAAGGAUAUUUGUCAAUGCACUUGAUAUCGGACUGCAAGAAAAUCCUCCCAUUGUUUCAGAGGAUCACUCGACAGUUCUCAGUGGACACAAGGGAUCCAUCACUGCUUUGUCCUUUACUAUAAGUGGACUGUGGCUGAUCUCUGCAUCAGAGGAUUGCACUGCAUGCCUUUGGGACGUAUCAAAUUGGCAGAUUACUCGUAGAUUCAGCCAUAAGAAGGGACGAAUAACGAAUCUGGUGGUGAUCCCACGGUCAUCGCUGUCUGUGAUGGAAAACCAGAGAAGUUCCCCUCGGAUUCGUGCUUCUCUGUUGGAGAAGGCUCAGAUGACCAAAGCAUAUGAGGGAACAACCACUCUUCUACCCACAUACUGUUCACUGGAAGAUCAUCUUAAUGCUACUUGUUUCCGAAGCUCUGAUUCACUCAACCAACAGAUUUUGGAUUUGGAGGUGCUCUUUCUUCCUUCCUUCUAUCUAUACAUAGAGAAAUGUGCCAAUGCUCUCGGAAUACUCAGGGGAGAACGCCGGAGGCAAUACAAAUGAAGGUGGAGACAAGUGUGGAGAACCGGCUGUGGGCUGUGAGCAUGACAAAGCAUUUGACAACCAUGAACAAACACCUGCGGUCACGGUUGUUGGAUCUGAUGGAGCGCAGGCUGCACUUUGCUGAAAGUCGGGCGGGUUCAACCUGACCGACCUGUGAUUGACCCGACAUCGGGUUGGGCUCAGGCAUGAUGUAUUGGGUUUGGUCUUGGGCUUGGGCCCUACAAACACCAACCCAAUUAAAAUCGAUUGGGCCAAUCAGAACGAUUGCUUUUCACAAGGAAAUCCUGGACAAUUCACCCAUGCCCAAGUCCAUGUAAGUUAAGUAUAAAUCCAUCUAAAUCAAAUUUCCAAUUCAAUCCAAACCAACUCAGAGCCUAAUUUGAACCAUACAAACUCCAAAACAAAGCAAAAUUAGUCACUUGACAAAAAGGAAAAUCCAAAAUCUGCCCUCAUCUUCUUGCUUCUGAAAGUUGCGACAAAUCGGUCAGGUGCCAGAAUCUGGUUAAAGAUUAGGCUGAUGAAGACGACAUUAUAAUAUCAUAUCUUCAGUUUUUUGAAUUUUCUAUUAUUUCUCCCCUUUACAUAAGCCAUCUUAAAAGCCUUAUAUAUAUAAAAACAUCUUUAAAGUAAAACUACUUUACAUUUUCACCCAUGAACUUCACCUAAAUUAUUCUUAAGCCUACUUUCUAAACCCCAAAUGAAAAUGUGCUAAGCAUCCAGGAGCUUCUAAGAGUUAAUCACAACAAAUCAUAUGAUAUUUUAUCCAUCACCUGCUCACCAAUAACUAAAAUGUCCUCAUCCUUGACUGUAAAUUCUCUACUUUAAUUUUAAAGACACUAACAAGCGUUGGUAGAAGGAAGCCUUGAAAAUAGGGUGAGUCCCCCCUCAUUCUAAGGGCCUGCCAUCCCAAGUUCUAGGUAAAGAAGCCUUGAAAAGUAAGGUGAGAGUCUAUCAUCUCUCAAGGUCCUUCCACUAGCGGUUAUUCCAAAUUCCAUGUGAGGAAGCCUUGAAGAGUAGGGUAAGAGCCUCCCCUUUCUCUAGGGUCUUUUCCUCUCCCAAACUCUGUGUUAGAGGGUCAAGGAAUGCUAGCAUUCUUUAUUUCCUGCUCACAUACCUGAUCAGAGUUGUAAGUGCUAAAAUGUUUGAGCACACUUUAGUUGUCAAAUUUCGUAAAGCUAAAAUAACUUGACAAUGGAUUUUCAAGACUGGUCCUCAAUCAAGAGAAGAUCAAGCUCAAGAUCAAGAAAAGAUCAAGCUGAAGAUCAAAAGAAGAUUAACAUCAAGACUGGUACAUUCUCAAGAGAAGAUCAAGCUAAAGAUUAACUGAUGUUCAAGAAUAGAUCAAGCUCAAAAGUCAAGAUGAAGUCCGUUACCGAGUUUAAGUCAAAGAAGUUUAGAUAUUUGAUAUAUCUUAGGUAGUAUAAAACCCUAGAAAGACCUUAUGACUAAGUGCUUUAAAAAAUGCUUAAAAUUGAAUUUUUAUGCUUAUUUUGCUUGGAAUUUGGCUAGCAUAACUUUUGGUUCGGCUAGCCUAUGUUUUCUCGG